UGGGGAAUAUUGGCACAAUGGGCGCAAGGCCUGAUGCAGCCAUGCCGCGUGUGUGAAGAAAGGCCUUCGGGUUGUAAAAGCACUUUUCAGCGAGGAGGAAGGUGGUGAACUUAAUACGUUCAUCAAUUGACGUUACUCGCAGAAGAAGCACCGGCUAACUCCGUGCCAGCAGCCGCGGUAAUACGGAGGGUGCAAGCGUUAAUCGGAAUUACUGGGCGUAAAGCGCACGCAGGCGGUUUGUUAAGUCAGAUGUGAAAUCCCCGGGCUCAACCUGGGAACUGCAUUUGAAACUGGCAAGCUAGAGUCUCGUAGAGGGGGGUAGAAUUCCAGGUGUAGCGGUGAAAUGCGUAGAGAUCUGGAGGAAUACCGGUGGCGAAGGCGGCCCCCCUGGACGAAGACUGACGCUCAGGUGCGAAAGCGUGGGGAGCAAACAGAUUAGAUACCCUGGUAGUCCACGCUGUAAAACGAUGUCGAUUUUGGAGG
rnacentral:rRNA from 1 species